rnacentral:rRNA from 1 species
CACGUAGGGGACGAGCGUUGUCCGGAUUCAUUGGGCGUAAAGAGCGCGCAGGCGGCUUGGCAAGUCGGGUGUGAAAUCCCGGGGCUCAACCCCGUGACUGCAUCCGAUACUGUCAGGCUAGAGGUAGGUAGGGGAGAUCGGAAUUCCUGGUGUAGCGGUGAAAUGCGCAGAUAUCAGGAGGAACACCGGUGGCGAAGGCGGAUCUCUGGGCCUUACCUGACGCUCAGGCGCGAAAGCUAGGGGAGCGAACAGG